rnacentral:rRNA from 1 species
AUUCCGGUUGAUCCUGCCGGAGGCCCUUGCUAUCGGAGUCCGAUUUAGCCAUGCUAGUCGUGCGAGUUCAGACUCGCGGCGCCGAGCUCAGUAACACGUGGCCAAACUACCCUACAGAGACGGAUACCCUCGGGAAACUGAGGUUAACCCGUCAUACCGAUCUCAGGCUUGAAUCGCAGAGAUCACAAAACGCCCCGGCGCUGUAGGAUGUGGCUGCGGUUGAUUAGGUAGACGGUGGGGUAACGGCCCACCGUGCCCAUAAUCAGUACAGGUUGUGAGAGCAAGAACCUGGAGACGGAAUCUGAGACAAGAUUCCGGGCCCUACGGGGCGCAGCAGGCGCGAAACCUUUACACUGCACGCACGUGCGAUAAGGGGACUCCGAGUGCGAGGGCAUAUCGUCCUCGCUUUCGUGUACCGUAGGGUGGUACACCAACAAGGGCUGGGCAAGACCGGUGCCAGCCGCCGCGGUAAUACCGGCAGCCCGAGUGAUGGCCGAUCUUAUUGGGCCUAAAGCGUCCGUAGCU